rnacentral:rRNA from 1 species
UACGAAGGGGGCUAGCGUUGCUCGGAAUCACUGGGCGUAAAGGGUGCGUAGGCGGUCUGUCACGUCGGCUGUGAAAUCCCGAGGCUCAACCUCGGGUCUGCAGUCGAUACGGGCAAACUAGAGUAUUGCAGGGGAGACUGGAAUUCCUGGUGUAGCGGUGAAAUGCGCAGAUAUCAGGAGGAACACCUGUGGCGAAAGCGGCUCACUGGACCACAACUGACGCUGAGGCGCGAAAGCUAGGGGAGCAAACAGG